rnacentral:rRNA from 1 species
AAGCGCUUGCAACCAGACUUGCACGCGGUUAAUCAUCCGGUGUUCUCACCGGUGCACUUGACCGCGUUCAGGCCAGCAUCGGUUCGGGUGGCAGGAUAAAGGCCUUGGGAAUGUAGCUUCUUUCGGGGAGUGUUAUAGCCCCGAGUGUCAUGCGGCCUCCCGGGACCGAGGAACGCGCUUCGGCUCGGAUGUUGGCGUAAUGGUUGUCAGCGA